CAUGUACUAACAGUGAAGGUUUAAUACAAGAGGAUAAAAAACACAAGGAGGAGGACUCUGUGCUGCAACCGAGAAAAUGGGAGGAGGAGGGAAAUACCUCAGGAUCAAGGUUACACACAGACAGAGCUCACUGGCAGCAGGGCCGGCCCUAGACUUUUGGAGGCCAAAAGCAGAUUUGGUUUGGGGGCUUCUUUAAACAUUUUCCCCUCCUUAUUUCAGAUGCAAUUUAUUUAUUUUAUAUGUUAUUUUAGUGGUUAACUUGAGUUGCCAUCAUGUUCACAUUCAUAUGGCACAAAGUGUCUCGUACUUCAGCGGCAUUUGAUAUCUGACAUGGUUGUUGAAGACUGUGAUUAAAAGCUUCAAAGGGCUCUGUAUGCACACAGUAUGUUUUGGGACAAUGUUUCAAAUACUUAACAAUAAUUUGUGCUAAAUUAUGACUGUUUUCUGAGUGUUUUCCCUUUUUUAGACUAGUCUCAAUAAAAAUUUUUGUUAAGUCGACAGAGAAAUUAGUCGCCAUGAACGUCCUUAGGAUAUACAUGAAACUACAGAAGAGACCUUCUGUUUUUAUGCACAAAAAAUAUUUCAUUCUAUCUUAUUCCAUUCCCUUUUCUAUCAACAUUUGAAUUUGUGCAUUUUCAUUUAAAAAAAUAAACAACAUUUCAGAUAAAAAAGCUGAGCAUAGACUUUAUAUAAACAUGGAUUCCGUGUCUCCACAUACUCCCACUGUAUAAAAUUGAAGCCAAAAUAUCCCAGAAAUGAUCGCUGCCAUUUUGCACUGGUGACAUCAUUUGGAACCAGAGACUGUGCAGUAGCGAUUGAUUGUUACCACACUGAUUGGCACAAACAGCUGUCAAUCUUGAUGCCACGCCCCCUUUUAUGGCAUCGAGUUGUCUUUCAAACUUCUAACCUUAGCCACUGGUUCAGUGUCAGCGAUAUUUUUUGGAGUGGCAGGGCCAGUGACAGUGGGAGUGGUGACAGGAAUUGCCUUGUACGCCAUCCUGACAAGUGAAGACAAACCACAGGCACCCGCCCCACAGAUGGAGACAAAUUAAUGACUCUAAAAUGAACUGCAAAAGCAUCAGUUGAAUCAUGACUGCAAUAAAAACGAUGGCAG